UACGGGGGGGGCAAGCGUUGUUCGGAAUUACUGGGCGUAAAGGGCUCGUAGGUGGCCAACUAAGUCGGACGUGAAAUCCCUCAGCUUAACUGGGGAACUGCGUCCGAUACUGGAUGGCUUGAGUUUGGGAGAGGGAUGCGGAAUUCCAGGUGUAGCGGUGAAAUGCGCAGAUAUCAGGAGGAACACCGGUGGCGAAGGCGGGACUCUGGGCCGAUACUGACGCUGAGGAGCGAAAGCGUGGGGAGCAAACAGG
rnacentral:rRNA from 1 species